CACGCCCUUCCAAAGUCCUUCCAGGGAUUGGUUGCCCGUCCUCAGCCCCCAGUCCCAGGUCAGUGCUCCACCGAGCUCCGCGCCUUGAGUGGAUCGCGGGUCUCUUUUUUCACUCGCCGAACUGACGGAGUCUUCGGCCUCCGGCUGCGAUGUGCCCUGUCGGCCCCGGGCCUGGGUAUGGCUGGGCUCGCCACACGUCCCCUCGACCUUUGCUCCAGCCGUCAGGAUGGAGGGAAGAACAACUCCCGGCGGCCCGGGGGGCGGGUGGCCCUGGCAUUCCCGGGGCCGCGCGAGACACCGGCUCUGCGCCCAGUCUCACGGAAGGUCCCUUGGGAGAAUCUGACGCAGUAACAAGUUUGCGCUUUGCUUCCUCAAGCGGAUCCGCCGCAAGUACCCGACCUGGGAUGACUUGGGCCCCUGGAGUUUGUUUCUAACGUCUGCGGAGGUCAACAACCUCAAUUCUAAGCGCAGGUAUGUCCCUGUCCUUGGGCGAAAUGAAUUGACCCAGAUUGCCAGCUCUUGGACAAAGGCGACAGAGUAUUCUCCGGAGUUUGGUGCAGUGGUGCUAAUCAGACACGCCCUAAAAAUAAAUAAAUAAAGAACCAGAAAGCUCCCGAAUAGCCUUUUCCUGUGUACUUUAACGGUUGACGCAGCAGAUAGGUUAAAACCUAGAGAGGAGAUUGCAGAACUCCUCUUUGGAUCCUGGCCGGUGUCACAGCUGAACCAGAAGAAAAAGAUUUCUUACAAUUUGAGAACCUUUGUGAUAUUUUUACAUAACUUAGAGCACAAGUAAUAGAUUCAAACUUAUUCACUUUGUGGAUCAUAGUAUCCACUCUGACCUCAGCCAUUAACAACCCUGGUCUCUUUACAUUGCAAUAAGGUGCAUGAACGGCUCCCACCAAAUGGUCAGGGCAAUAUGGACUUAGCUCUUUCAAUGCUAGCCAAGUUACAAAAAUGGGAUCCUUCGUGCAUAAAGAAACACCACUUAGUUGCACCCAACAAGACGUCAUAAACAAUCCACUCAGGGAUUCAAUAAUAUGAACACUUUUUCCAAGUUUGGCAACUAUGAUCUUCCAAAUGCAAUUCCAAAGUAAUAGAACAAAUGUUCAUGUCACUAUGCAGACCUUAGAAGUCUAUCAAUCUAAAGUUACUGGAGUAACCUCUGUACCAAAAUCGUGACCUACAAAUACUGAUCAUACAACAGGGAAGAGCUUGUUCAAUCAUUGGCAAACAGUGGUGCUUCUAUGUAAAUAAAACAGGAGAAGUAAUGUCCAAUCUACAGUGUAUAAAAGCACAAGUCAACAUUCUACAUCAAAUAAAUGAGGCACAAUCAUUUAAUUGCACUGAUCUGUUCCAGGAGUGGGAGACUAUCUCUGUGGAACAUGGAACUAUGUGUUCUCUUCAUUCUUUUCUGCUUAUUCAACCUUGUUCUAAUCUGUUCUUGUCUUUCAUAGAUCACUUAACUCCCAAUCUUUAACCCAACUCCUCUCUCCACAGCAAUGGAGCCAGCUCCUUGUCUAUGAAACUUCAUGUCCAUUUUCAGAUGGGACAGUGAACAACACUUGGAAAUGGCAGAACAACUACUUAGUCCAUCUGAACAAACAGCAGCUGCAGGAAAAAAAAAAAAAAGCCUUAUCUAAGCUUGCCUUUGAUGUGUAUUUCAGGCCUCUCUGAGAAUUCACCUGCUCUAGCCCCUUCCAAGGGAGCAUCCUGUGAGGAAACUGAAUGUGGGAACUUCUGGGGGGAUUUAAAUGUAUAAAUAAGCCUUAUCUGACCCUUCCAUACUUUCCCUCUGAAGCCUUAACACACACACCCUAUCCUUGGUUAUUCAGAAAAAUACCAUGCACAGUGCUUUCACAUGCAUGUAUACUAAUUCUCUUUCUUAUUAAUCUAUUAAUCAAUUUUCAGAACCCCACACUGGAACCUAAGUUAGUAGAAGAAAACUUUUCCUCCCAGCAACGCUGUCUAGAUUUUUCUGGAUAGACAAGAGAGUGUGUUCAAGUAGAUAAUGUAAUUUGGAAGCCUGUGUUUUGUUUGAAGGUGGGAAAAUCCAAUGUCUGCAUAUACACAAGGAUUUCACCCUUUGAACUUGUCUUGAAGAGUAAACUUUGGACAGUCAUCCUAUACAUUUAAGAACUGAGUGUAACUUUUUAUUUCCUUUAGGGAGGAAGCUAAAAACCAGUUAAAGUGGAUCUGUGCUUUCCUGACUUCCCAUAGACACUGCAGUCUACAAUCUUAACAGGGCAUUAGGUGUGAAUGGAACCAGCUGACCACCAUGGGCAGCAGAUGGGACUAGAACAGUGGGGAUGAUGUAGAGGAAUCAUUUAUUGUACCAAACACUUCAUUCUACCUGGUUUUGUGUGUCUCCCAGGGGAAGUAUACCAACAUUGAGAUGUGUGGCAGUAUUCCAUGGUUCUGUCAUUUUGUCACAUGGAGAUUCACAUAACCACCACAAUCCAUAUAUAGAAGGGAGAACAGCAGCCGAUUUGGAUUCCAGAAAGAUUAACUAAAGCGAUUUCUACAGACCAAAAAGAAGAUGAUUUGGCUCAAAUCCAUAACAACUGAUAUCCAAAACUCCAGUUUGGCUAUUCUUACAUCUGCAACAGAACCAGGAUGCUUUUUUCAAUAUCUAUUUUAUUAUUGCCCUUUGCCAUAUCAUGAAGUUCUAUUUUGUUUUUUGAGCUCAUACAGACCUAGGUUAAUGUUUUGCUGAUCAGUUCUAUUUUUUGACUAUAGAGUUUUUAAACAUUGCAAUGGAGAUUUCACCUGUAAAAAGUUAUAAGGCCUUUACUAUAAUGUUAUGUGUUGUAUGUAUUAUAUUAUGUGUGCACACUUGUGUUUUGUGUUAUAUGUUUGAAUGUAUGUAUGUCCAUAUAUCAUAUAAGAUGAGCGCUCAUGAUAAAAUGGAUCCAAAUAUUUUUUUUCACGUGAUUUAUAUGGUUUAAUUUAAAUUGGGUAAACAACUGUUGAGGAUUGUUUUAAUAUGUAAACAAAAAAGAAGGUUAACAGAUCUGUUUGUUUACUUUCACCUUUCCUUUUCAUUAUAUUUAAUAAUUCUCUUAAAGAUAAUGUAAAUUGUUAAGAAAAUUGUUUUCUUUUAGUGCCUUCUGUAAUGUUACAUAAUUUUUUCUUAAGCCAUUAUUGCCAGAAUUCCUAUCUUCAUCCCAGUGCUGGUGAAGACAAUGUAAAUUGUUAAGAAAAUUGUUUUCUUUUAGUGCCUUCUGUAGUGUUACAUAAUUUUUUCUUUAGCCAUUAUUGCCAGAAUUCCUAUCUUCAUCCCAGUGCCGGUGAAGACAAUGUAAAUUGUUAAGAAAAUUGUUUUCUUUUAGUGCCUUCUGUAAUGUUACAUAAUUUUUUCUUUAGCCAUUAUUGCCAGAAUUCCUAUCUUCAUCCCAGUGCUGGUGAAGUGAAAGAUAAAACCAAUCUACAGCUUCUACAAUAGCCAUCACUGAACUGCUUGCAGAACUUGCCUGGACACAUUGUGAGCUCACCUGUAUGCAUUGUGAACUAUCUGUUGGUACAGCGAAUUGUGGUAGUGCUGGAGUAUUUUUGCUGAUGGUGUCACCGGUGGUACAAUUUUUCAAAGGAGCCCUCAAUUGGCUUAAUGUCAUGGCAUUUUGCAUCCUCCUCUACUAGUGAUGGUCUAAAAUUUGGGGGCCAACAGAGGUGAGGCAAAGAACCUCACCCCCCCACAGGUGCAAAGGCCUAUCCACAAGUAUGGCUGUAUGCUGGACCGGUAGUCAGUGACGGGUAUGAUCCAAUUGCAGUGGUACCAACCUAAGACAGGAGGCUGACGCCUAGAGGUCAGUUCAUCCGAUGACGGGUAAGGACCAUAUGUUGAAUUGGACUGCCUAACAGGCACGGUCCCUAAGCCACAUGCUUGUUGUUUAAACAGAGAGGGGGAGAUGUUGAGAGCCACAGCCAAAGGGGCCCCAGCAAACUUCCAGCUGCCAGCAAACUUCCAGCUGCUGGCUGAUGAUUGGCUCACAGCGGCCCCAGCAACAUCUAGCUGAUUGGCUCCUCGGCCCCAGCAACAUCUAGCUGAUUGGCUCCUCUGCGGUGAUGCUCAUUGGGCUGUUUCCCUGCCCUUUCAGACCACGGAGCUGCUCAUUGGGGGACUUUUUUGGCUCCGCCCACGUGACCCAGCCAAUCGGCCUCAAGAGCAGGAGGAUUGUGGGAGGUGGAGAGAAGCUUGUGUGGGAGAGAGAGGCUUGUGGAAAGCCGGUGGUGGCAGUUGAGGCUCUGAGGGUUUUUCCUGAGAGGCUGUUUUGUUUGGCGUGUGGUUCUAAAAAUAAAGUUAGUUUCUUUUGACAAGUGGCUCCUGAUUGUGCCCAGCCAGACUGCGGCAAAAAGUAUUUUUUAAAAACAUGCCAGUGGGCAGUCCAUGAACCUCCUUUCCCAGCUAAAUUUAGAGCAUUGAUAUCAUAGGGUGUUGUAGUAAUGACUAUGACAGUUUGUUUAUGGGGCUGGAAGGGGGCAGUCCUCAUGCUUUUUUUUCAAGGAAGACAGCACAUGCACUUUGCUAACAACUACUAGCCACUAUAAACCUUACACAAGUGCAGAGAGGUGGGCGUGGAGCUGGAUCUGCAGUGUGCUGCUCUGAAAGCCCUUGUGGGUGGAGCCUUUGUGUGUGUAUGUAUGUAUGUAUGUAUGUAUGUAUGUAUUUUUCUGUGCUAGAGAUUGAAUCCAGGACCUUAAGCACUGUUGACAAGUGUUCUACCCCAAGCCCUGUGUGGAACCUUUUGAAGCAGAUUAGAGGUGAGUUUUGUUCACCCUAUACCUUCAGACCUACACAUACACACCAAAUAAAGUUAAGACAUCAAAGCCAUUAUUUCUUAUUAAUUGACAAAUUUAUCAAUAGUAUGAUUUGCAUUUGACUUGGCAGUGUUUGGAUGUUCCAAAGAAUGAACUGAAGUGAAACAUCUCUUUUUGAUGCUAUUUUGCAUGAAUAAAAUGAUGCCAUUUAUUAGUUUUGACUGGUGAAAAAUGAUGGAUCAUGGUGUCAAAGAAUUGCCUUGCAUUACUAUUGUCCUGAGGUUUUGUCUUAGCAGAAGAUAGGUGAGCUUCCAUGGCUUGUUGUCCCACGCAAACAGUUACAUGAUAAAUUCAAAUUGGGUGAGUAUAGCAAAUUUAUAUUCAGAAUGUCUAAAUUACCAAAAAAAUGUCAAGUCCAAGAGAUCUUGCCAAGGAACAAAUGGUUCUUUGGCAAGCAGAAGACUGUAGAACUGCACUGUCUGAAAUUGUGCCCUUCAAAUGUGGCUAGUGCUACUGAGUGUUUUAAUUUCCUGUAGAAAAUGAAUACAAAGGUGGUUUAACCCAUUAUGUCCCAUAUUCUCAGAUGUGGGCCUCCUAUAAAACAUAAAUUGAACAUCAUUACCCUAAGUACAUGUAUGAAGACACGAAUGGUAUGACUGUACUUUGUGUACAACCAGAGAAAUGAAAAAUUGUGAUCUACAUGUGUACUAUGAACUAAAGUGCAUUCUGCUGUCAUGUAUAACAAAUUAGAAUAAAAAAAUAAAUCUUUAGAAAUGUAAACUGAAUAAUCCAUGCACCACUUAUGGUAACUUUGGAAUAAUUAAUUCAUUUUAUUAAAUUGAUUAUUCAAAAGCUUGGAACUUAUCAAAGCAAUACAUGUUUAUACUUUUAUAACUCUAGAGGCCAGAAAUUCAAAACCAGUUUGACUGGGUCAACAUCAGGUGUAAGCUGGGCCUUUCUCCCUCUGGAGGCUCUAGGGGAUAGUCUGUUUCUUUGCCUUUCCCAGCUACUAGAGCAGCAUUCCAUGCAUUCCUAGGCUAGAGGCCCCUUCUUCCAUCUUCAGAGCCAGCAGCAUGGCCACUGGCUUCAGUGACCACAUUGCUCCUUCUCUUCUAUAGUCAAAUCUCUUCUGUCUCCCUUCUGUGAGGACACUGCCAGUUACUUUUAAGGCCUACCCAAAUAAUCCAGGAUAAUUUCCCAUCUCAAGAUUCUUAGUUUAAUUACAUUUGCAAAGUCCCUUUUGCUAAAUAAAGUCCAGGGAUUAGGAUAUUGACAUAUUUAGAGACCAUUAUUUAGUCUACUGCACUGAGAAACUGAAAAUUUAAUUAGACCUACAGCUGGUGGCUAUUAUAUUACCUUAGGAAUCUUUAUUUUUUAUUUUAUUUUAUUUUAUUAUUUUAGUACUGGGGAUUGAACCCAGGGGUGCUCUACACUGAGCUACAUCCUCAGUAUUUUUUAUUUUUUAUUUUAAGAUAGGGUCUCAUUAAACUGCUGAGAUUGGCCUCAAAUUUACCGUCCUCUUGCCUCAGCCUCCCAAAUCUAUGAAAUUGCAGGCAUGUGCCAACUAAGCCUGGUUUCCUCAGGAAUCUUUUCCUGUGAUAUGGGGCUACAUAUUUCAUCUUGUCUGAUCAUGAAAAAUGUUUUCCAAGGCACUACAUUCUCCCACACUGGAAAUAGUAUUUUCAUUUCUAAGAGUUUAAGUUCAAUUCUAAAAGUUCAAGGUUGAAAGAACCGGGUGUCUUACUAAUCUAUGGGAAUUGUGUCCCAAAUUCCUUUUAAAAAGGACUUACAUAGAUAUUUUUGAAGAGCAGUAUAAUAUUAAACUCUGGUAUUUUCUGCCACAGACCAUCUAGAGCUGUUAUCCAAUAGAGCUUCCUGUGAAGAUGGAAAUAUUAUAAAUCUGUGCUGUCCAAUCUGGUCGCCAAUAGCCACGUGGCUAUUAAAAUUUAAAUUAAAAAUUCAGUUCAUUGGUACACUAUCAAGGCUUACAAUAAAGCCAUAGAAAUGGGGACAGUGUGGUGAUGGUGUGAAGAUACACAAAUCACCUGAUAGAACAGAAUCAAGUUGAGAAAUGCAUCUGCACACAAAUUGUCACUUAAAACACUUAUAACAACUAGAGAGGGGAAAGUGAUUUUUUUAAAUUAACCUUGCUAGAUCCAUUGGCUGUCUACAUAGAAAAAAAAGUAUCUGGACCUACCUCGACAAAUAAAAAAGUUUUUCCUCAAAAGACAUCAUUAAAAGAAUGAAAUGAUACAUUAGUAUAAUUUUACACACUAAAACCUACAUGUCCAUAGUCAUCACAUUUAUAAUUUAUCAAAAUGUAUCCAUUUAUGUUAGAUUUCCUAUCACUUUGUUGAAUGUUUAGAAUCUUCUAGAGCUUGUAUCCUUCUUCAUGCUGAUAAAAAGCUGUUAACCUAAUAAAAUAUAUUUCUAAAUUAAAAAUAAAGAAUGAGGGGCUGGGGAUGUGGCUCAAGUGGUAGUGCGCUCACCUGGCAUGCUUUCGGCCCGGGUUCGAUCCUCAGCACCACAUACAAAUAAAGAUGUUAUAUCUACCGAAAACUAAAAGAAUAAAUAUUAAAAAAAAUAAAUUAAUUAAAAAUAAAGAAUGAAAUGGAACUCAGAAUGAGAGAGGAUAUAUGCAAUAUAUAUGUGUGUAUAUAUGUAUAUAUACAGAGAGAAGAGAAAGGGGGUAAUCAGGCAGGAAGAAACUCUUGGAGAUGAUAGAUAUAUUUAUGGUAGAGAUUAUGCUGAUGGUUUCAAGGGUGUAUCAUUAUCUCCAAACUCAUCAAGUUGUGUAUAUACAAUUAUAUUAGGUAUAUACAAUUUAAUGUAGUAAUCACACCUCAAUAAAGUGAUUCUUUUAAAAAGACACUUGCAGCAGAUGAACAACCUGUGAUAUAUUAAUCCAGUGGAAUACUACUCAAAAAUGAAAAGGAAGGCAUUAAUGAUAUGGAUAAAUCUCAAUACAGUGUGUUAAAUGAGAGGAAUGUUACAAAAAAAGAAUGUACUGUAUGACUCCAGUUGUAUGAAAUUUUGAAACAGGCAAAACUGACCUACAGUGGUGGAAAAGAUCAGCAUACCAGUCGCCCUGGGAGAGUGGAAAUAGGGGGCAGCAUGA